CUGCUGACUUUGUCUCCUGAAUAACAAAUAAAUGUCAUCAUUGCAGAACUCACCAAAAAGACAAACAUAGUAACAGAUUUGUGUUUUACAAAACUUCAAGGCAGCAGCAGCAAAAGAAUGAGAAUCCAAAAAUACUAAAUUGAAUGGAGAGUACUAAGGAAUGCCACAGACUGACCACAGC